rnacentral:rRNA from 1 species
CUUAGUGGCGGACGGGUGAGUAACGCGUGAGAAUCUGCCUUCAGGACGGAGACAACAGUUGGAAACGACUGCUAAGCCCCGAUGAACCGAAAGGGAAAAUAUUUAUAGCCUGAAGAUGAGCUCGCGUCCGAUUAGCUAGUUGGCGGAGUAAAAGCCCACCAAGGCGACGAUCGGUAGCUGGUCUGAGAGGAUGGUCAGCCACACUGGGACUGAGAUACGGCCCAG